UACGAAGGGGGCUAGCGUUGCUCGGAAUCACUGGGCGUAAAGGGUGCGUAGGCGGGUUUUUAAGUCAGGGGUGAAAUCCUGGAGCUCAACUCCAGAACUGCCUUUGAUACUGAAGAUCUUGAGUCCGGGAGAGGUGAGUGGAACUGCGAGUGUAGAGGUGAAAUUCGUAGAUAUUCGCAGGAACACCAGUGGCGAAGGCGGCUCACUGGCCCGAUACUGACGCUGAGGCACGAAAGCGUGGGGAGCAAACAGG
rnacentral:rRNA from 1 species